AACGGAGGGUGCAAGCGUUGUUCGGAAUUACUGGGCGUAAAGCGCGUGCAGGUGGUCUUCUAAGUUUCGUGUGAAAUCCCACGGCUUAACCGUGGAACGGCACGGAAAACUGGAAGACUUGAAUACGGGAGAAGAGGGCGGAAUUCCCAGUGUAGAGGUGAAAUUCGUAGAUAUUGGGAGGAACACCGGUGGCGAAAGCGGCUCUCUAGACCGAUAUUGACGCUCAUACGCGAGAGCGUGGGUAGCAAACAGG
rnacentral:rRNA from 1 species